rnacentral:rRNA from 1 species
AGAGUUUGAUCCUGGCUCAGGAUGAACGCUGGCGGCGUGCUUAACACAUGCAAGUCGAACGGGGAUGGCAUUUUCGAAGUGAUUAGUUUACUAAGAGCGGAGAUACUGUCAUCUUAGUGGCGGACGGGUGAGUAACGCGUGGGUAACCUGCCUUACACUGGGGGAUAACACUUAGAAAUAGGUGCUAAUACCGCAUAACAGGGGAAGACGCAUGUCUUUUCCUUGAAAACUCCGGUGGUGUGAGAUGGACCCGCGUCUGAUUAGCUAGUUGGCGGGGUAGCGGCCCACCAAGGCGACGAUCAGUAGCCGGCCUGAGAGGGUGAACGGCCACAUUGGGACUGAGACACGGCCCAAACUCCUACGGGAGGCACCAGUGGGGAAUAUUGGACAAUGGGGGGAACCCUGAUCCAGCGACGCCGCGUGAGUGAAGAAGUAAUUCGUUAUGUAAAGCUCUAUCAACAGGGAAGAAGAAAGUGACGGUACCUG